rnacentral:rRNA from 1 species
CCAGACUCCUACGGGAGGCAGCAGUGAGGAAUAUUGGUCAAUGGCCGAGAGGCUGAACCAGCCAAGUCGCGUGAGGGAUGACGGCCCUACGGGUUGUAAACCUCUUUUGCCGGGGAGCAAAGAGCGGGACGCGUCCCGCCUCGAGAGUACCCGGAGAAAAAGCAUCGGCUAACUCCGUGCCAGCAGCCGCGGUAAUACGGAGGAUGCGAGCGUUAUCCGGAUUUAUUGGGUUUAAAGGGUGCGCAGGCGGGCUGUUAAGCCGGCGGUAAAAAUUCAGGGCUCAACCCUGUCGAGCCGUCGGAACUGGCAGUCUUGAGUGGGCGAGAAGUAUGCGGAAUGCGUGGUGUAGCGGUGAAAUGCAUAGAUAUCACGCAGAACUCCGAUUGCGAAGGCAGCAUACCGGCGCGCAACUGACGCUCAUGCACGAAAGCGUGGGUAUCGAACAGGAUUAGAUACCCCCGUAUCC